CUCAAAACGCCGGAGGACCGGUCCACCCUCCCUCCUCCUUCGCGCGUGCCGAGAGAGCGCUCCGCGUCCUCCCCUUUCCGUCACCAUGGCCGCCGACUCCGAAGGCGGCGCCGCCUCCCCCUUCGACACCUCCGCCGCCGCCGCCUUCCGCACCUUCCGGACACUGGUGGAGAGCGCCGACCGGAAGUUCGCCCGCGUACGCGACCUCCCGCCCUACGGCCGCGGGCAGCACCUCCUCCACUACUACCGCAAGGUCUUCAGGGCCUACACUCGCCUCUGGCGGUUCCAGCAGGAGCACCGGCGCGAGCUUGUCAGCGCCGGCCUGCGGCGGUGGGAGAUCGGCGAGAUUGCCUCCCGGAUCGGCCAGCUGUACUACACCCAGUACCUUCGGACCAGCGAGGUCCGGUACCUCCUCGAGGCGUACGUCUUCUAUGAGGCGAUUCUGAACCGCGGGUACUUCGAGGCCGGGAAGGGGUCGUUGGUCUCGUCGUCGUCGGCGAGGACCGAUCUGGGACUGAGGUACAAGGAGCUCAGGUUCCACGCGAGGUUCUUGAUCGUGGCCAUGCUGUUGAACCGGACGGAUGCGGUGAAGCACCUCGCCGAAAGGUUUAGGGCUCUGCUGGAGGAGUCGAAGGCCGCUCACACGGAGACUAAUUUCAAAGAAUGGAAACUGGUGCUGCAAGAAAUUUUAAGGUUUUUGAAAGCCAAUACAGCUUUUGCAAACACCAGGCCUUUGAGAUACAGCAUACUGUUUGAUUCUCAUCCAUCUUCCGUUCCAUAUAUUGCACGAUUCCAUGCAAAUAGGGUUUUGAGGCUGCAGGAUGCUUUGCUCACAAGCUAUCGUCAUAAUGAGGUCAAGUUCACAGAGCUCACACUGGACACUUUCAGAAUGCUUCAAUGUUUGGAAUGGGAACCCAGUGGAUCAUUUUACCAGACUCCUGCAAAAGAGCCAACUGAUAAUGGUGCCUUUAGUGAUCUGAGCGGAGCCUCUGGACUGAUUGAUAUUAACCUAUCUGCAGAUAUGACCGAUCCAAGUCUGCCUCCAAAUCCAAGGAAGGCUAUAAUUUACCAUCCUUCUGUCUCUCAUUUGAUUGCGGUAAUUGCAACAAUUUGUGAAGAGUUACAUUCAGAUAGCAUUUUGCUAAUAUAUGUGUCAGCUUCAGGAAGGACUCACCAUAAUACUGUUUUGCAAAAAGAUAUCUCUGGAAGUUUGUUGAACUUCUCAAGACCGAACCAUGUGUCACAGACUUCUCAUAGACAGGAUAGCUCACCGCCUGAUCCUUCUGUUGGCAAUAAGCCAGAUUUAAAUUCCUGUCUAGGAAGUUAUCUGUGCCUAGGUCCUCGAGGAAGUGGAGGUUUGAACAACCUUUAUCCUGAAGAUUUGCUUCCGUUCACACGGAGACCACUUUUCCUCAUCGUCGACAGUGAUAACAGCCAUGCAUUCAAGGCAGGCUAUACAUGGUGCGGAAAGGGGAGAAGCAGCUGCCUUGCUUCUUUCACCUGAGAGACCAUCAUCAGUAUUUGCUACUGAUCUAAUGCCUAAUGGAAGCCAGUUUACAUAUUUCCUAACUGCUCCACUUCAAGCAUUUUGCCAAUUAGUUGGUCUCUCUUCUGAUGUUGAAGCUGAUGUUUAUAUCAAUGCAGAGGGCAUACUUUCCUCUGCUUUAGCUGAAUGGGAGGUAAUACUCUGCACAUGCAAUAGUCUGAAUCAGGUCUGGGCCCAGGUUUUACCUGAUCCAUUUCUACGGCGACUGAUUCUAAGGUUUAUAUUCUGCUGGGCCGUGCUUCAUCUCUUCCGCCCUAUAGAGAAGAAUAGUCAGCAUCUUCCUGAUUGUGUACCUAGCCUUCCUGAGUCCGUCUCUCCAAGCUCUGCAAAAACUCAAGUCCAUAUCCUUCAGCUUGCAGAAAACUUUGGGGUUGUCGACCAGUUUCACUUUUCAGAUUCCAUCAGGGACUAAGUGCUCAACAGAUAUUUACUGCCAUAGUGUACAACCUUCUGUAGAUAAAAUCAUGGUAAAUAGAAUCCAAUCAUUUGUUGAUUAUUUUGUGUCAAUACACCAGAUCAUCAACUCUGCAGGCGGACUGCGGGUCAAGCGGCAAACCACUGAGGAAAAACUGACAAUGUAUGAGACUGCAAGCCAGUCUAUAUGCUUUAGUUCUUAGGUUGUCAGGGGGCUGCACCCUUGUGGUGGACAUGCAUAAUUUAGUAUUGGCAUGUACAAGUCCAUUAUUGGUAGCAGAGAAACAGUGAAUAGGGCCAAAAUGUUUUCAUAAUCUUGUAAGCAGGCUUGUGUCCAUUUAGAGGUGAUUUCCAAUUUUUAGCAGUGAAUUCAUAUGUGGCUAUGGAAGAAUGUCCAUGUACUGGAACAUGCUUUGAUCGUUGAUCAUGCAUCUAAGUCAUGCUUAGUUAUUAUUUGCUGUAA